rnacentral:rRNA from 1 species
GGUGUACCGGUUGUGACGCCAGUCGCAUCGCCGGGUAGCUAUGUUCGGAAGGGAUAACCGCUGAAAGCAUCUAAGCGGGAAGCCUACCUCAAGAUAAGAUUUCCCUAGGACUUUAUGUCCUCUAAAGAGCCGUUCGAGACUAGGACGUUGAUAGGUUGGAUGUGGAAGCAUAGUGAUAUGUGAAGCUGACCAAUACUAAUUGCUCGUGAGGCUUGACUAU